AGUGAACGCUGGCGGUAGGCCUAACACAUGCAAGUCGAACAGCAGCACAGGAGAGCUUGCUCUCUGGGUGGCGAGUGGCGGACGGGUGAGGAAUACAUCGGAAUCUACUCUGUCGUGGGGGAUAACGUAGGGAAACUUACGCUAAUACCGCAUACGACCUACGGGUGAAAGCAGGGGACCUUCGGGCCUUGCGCGAUUGAAUGAGCCGAUGUCGGUUUAGCUAGUUGGCGGGGUAAAGGCCCACCAAGGUGCCGAUACGGAGCUGGUCUGAGAGGAUGAUCAGCCACACUGGAACUGAGACACGGUCCAGACUCCUACGGGAGGCAGCAGUGGGGAAUAUUGGACAAUGGGCGCAAGCCUGAUCCAGCCAUACCGCGUGGGUGAAGAAGGCCUUCGGGUUGUAAAGCCCUUUUGUUGGGAAAGAAAUCCAGCUGGCUAAUACCCGGUUGGGAUGACGGUACCCAAAGAAUAAGCACCGGCUAACUUCGUGCCAGCCGCCGCCGUAA
rnacentral:rRNA from 1 species